rnacentral:lncRNA from 1 species
GGGGAUCAGCUGUUCCGAAUGAGGGCUGUGAAAGAUCCCCUGCAGAUAGGGUUCCAUCUGAGCGCUACAGUGGUACCACCGCAGAUGGUCCCUCCCAAAGGGGCCUACAAUGUGGCUGUGAUGUUUGACCGCUGCCGGGUCACUUCCUGUAGCUGUACCUGUGGGGCUGGGGCCAAAUGGUGCACCCAUGUCGUGGCACUCUGUCUCUUCCGCAUUCACAACGCAUCUGCAGUUUGCCUGCGGGCUCCCGUCUCAGAGUCCCUGUCUCGGCUACAAAGGGACCAGCUUCAAAAAUUUGCUCAGUACCUGAUCAGUGAGCUCCCUCAGCAG